rnacentral:rRNA from 1 species
ACCUGCGGAAGGAUCAUUAAUGAAUUUUAGGACUCUCUUUUUAGAGGUCCGACCCUUUCAUUUCCAUACACUGUGCACACACUUCUUUUCACACAUUUUAACACUAUAGUAUAAGAAUGUAACAGUCUCUUUAUUGAGCAUAAAUAAAAAUAAAACUUUCAGCAACGGAUCUCUUGGCUCUCGCAUCGAUGAAGAACGCAGCGAAUUGCGAUAAGUAAUGUGAAUUGCAGAAUUCAGUGAAUCAUCGAAUCUUUGAACGCACCUUGCACUCUUUGGUAUUCCGAAGAGUAUGUCUGUUUGAGUGUCAUGAAACUCUCAACCCCCCUAUUUUGUAAUGAGAUGGGCGUGGGCUUGGAUUAUGACUGUUGUCGGCGUAAUUGCCGGCUCAGUUGAAAUACACGAGCAACCCAUUUGAAAUAAACGGUUUGACUUGGCGUAAUAAUUAUUUCGCUAAGGACGUUUUCUUCAAAAGUAAGAGGUGCUUCUAAUGCGCUAUUAUAGCACUUUAAAUUUUAGACCUCAAAUCAGUCAGGACUACCCGCUGAACUUAAGCAUAUCA